rnacentral:lncRNA from 1 species
GGCUUCCGUGUCCCUGUGGCAGGCGGUGGUGGUCGAAAUCUCUGCCCCUCAGAGUCCUGGGGAGGAUGGAUGGAACAGGAGGAGCAUCAUGAGAAGGCUUCCUGUAAACUACGGAGGGUGAGGGGACGGAGCGUGAGGGAACGUCGUGAGAUGGCACAGCUUGCACACAGAAGAUUCUGAGUGGUGCCAAGGUGAAUAAAGAUGCCUAAGUAAGUAAGGAGCACAUCUUUAAUCCCAGCACUUGAAAGGCAGAGGCUGGCAGAUCUUUGUGAGUUUGAAACCACCCGGGACAGCCAGGGGCUAUGGAGAGAAACCUCGUCUCCCCACCACCUGCUUCCGAGAAAAACCUAAUAAAAUGGGACACCUCUGGGGUCCUGCUUAUUGUUCUUCUUGUGCACCCCUCUACCUCGAGACCCUCUCAAGUCACAGUAUGUGACUGUGACCUGCUGGCAUCCAGCUGGUGAUCAGUUCCAUGAGACUUCAAAUGGGAGCUCCAGAAGGAACAAUGACAAAGAUAAUGCCAGUGGUCCUUGAGAAGCCUGUGGUGUUGGCUACUGUUUCAGCUGAGAAGACUGUGGCGUCCUGUUGGCUACUGUUUCAGAGCUGAAAAGCACAACAGUUGCAGAGGCAUCCUAGGGCCAUCUCUCCUGCUCCCUGUUAGGCACUCAGGUGCUCGUGGAAGCCAGCAGAGGGUGUAGGGUCUCCUGGAGCCACAUCUCUGGAGUUACAUGAAGUUGUGGACCUCUCAACAUGGGUUCUGGGAACUGAACCCAGGUCCUCUGGAAGGACAUCGAGUGCUCUUAACCACUGAGCCAUCUCUGCAGCCUAACCCCAUCCCUUGGAGGCUGAAGCAAAGCAAGUUCAAUGACCGUGCGACCUGGCUCUUGUUUGGGCCUAAGGAAAAGCCGACUGUAAGCCGGGAAGCAUCUCUGGCAAGAACAAGGAAGGAUUAAGCACGUCUGUGGUUGUGCGCAGGGAUCACAAGGUGCUCCUGCAGUGGGAAGAGCCACCACUAGGGGCGCUCCAAGUCUUGUAUUUUCUACCUUGAAAACUCGUUUCCCUGUGGCUGCCCUCCAAAUCCAACGGAGAUGAAUGGCUUUUAGUUUACCUAGCUGAUUUAAUAAACUUUAAAAAUAAAUG